GGCUGGGAACUUUCUUCAGUCUGGACAGUUUAUCUUAGCUGAUAAUGUUUCUCUCUCUCAGAGCAUCAUAGAUCCAGUUGGCAUAAAGUUUUUGGGAUCACAGUGGAAUGUGGAGCAUUUUUCAUCCUCGCCAUCAUCAUUAUCAUCGUCAUACUGUUUAUAAUAAAGAAACGAAGGAGUGUUAAAACUGAAGAUCUCACAGUGAAACAGCUCUCUUAUUUCAAUGAAGACAAAUACACAACUCUUGAGCUCAAGUCCACGACCUCAGAGCUUUUCUAAACAUCACAAUCCAUCAGUACCCUUACGAAAAACUAGUAUACUUCAAGUACAUUUGAU